AUUGAACGCUGGCGGCAGGCUUAACACAUGCAAGUCGAGCGGAGCGAGGGUGCUUGCACCUUAGCUUAGCGGCGGACGGGUGAGUAAUGCUUAGGAAUCUGCCUAUUAGUGGGGGACAACAUUCCGAAAGGAAUGCUAAUACCGCAUACGCCCUACGGGGGAAAGCAGGGGAUCUUCGGACCUUGCGCUAAUAGAUGAGCCUAAGUCGGAUUAGCUAGUUGGUGGGGUAAAGGCCUACCAAGGCGACGAUCUGUAGCGGGUCUGAGAGGAUGAUCCGCCACACUGGGACUGAGACACGGCCCAGACUCCUGCGGGAGGCAGGAGUGGGGAAUAUUGGACAAGGGGCGGAAGCCUGAUUCAGCCAUGCCGCGUGUGUGAAGAAGGCCUUUUGGUUGUAAAGCACUUUAAGCGAGGAGGAGGCUCUUAAGGUUAUUACCCUUGAUAGUGGACGUUACUCGCAGAAUAAGCACCGGCUAACUCUGUGCCAGCAGCCGCCGUAAUAC
rnacentral:rRNA from 1 species